GCUGUGUGUGAGGGCACAGCGGGACCGGACCAGCCCGGAGUGCUGUGUGUGAGGGCACAGCGGGACCAGCACGGUCCCGCUGGGCUGAUGGAACACCGCGGCUCUGCCGUGUCCCUUUGUGCCAGUGGCUCCUACAAAUGUCACCAUGGACUGGUGACCGAGGCUAUGAGUCUGCCACGGGCCCUCCGAUUUCCUCUAAAAAGCCGCCGUGGGGACGCGAUUCGGUGGAUCAUCCCACGGGAGCAGCAGGGAGUGGCGCUGCCCCCAGCUCUGCUCUGCUUUUGGGGCUCCCCAAAAGUGCCUCCCUGUGCUGAGCCCCCCGCUCCGCAGUUCGGUCCUCAGUCCGCAAUGGGAACUAAAAGACAUCCUGACCUGCAGCCACGGCCCUGUCUCUGCAAUCAAAUAGAAAAAAAACUCCUGCACUCCCCCAAAAACCUGACAAAGAUGGAUCACAGGAGCCCAUCCGUCCUGCCUGAAAACCUCGCAUCCAUCCUCGUGUUCUGAGAAGCAUGUUCAGACCGAUUGAAAACCAGGGCUAUUUCGGGAUCCCAUUUUCAGCUGUUCAGAAGAGCUUUGGCUGUUCCACAAUGCUGGGAGCUGUUCUGGGAGAGAGGAGUGGAGCAGGACAGAAUGGAAUAUCGAUGAAAUGGAGAAGGUCGCUCCCUGUUGAGCACUUGGAUUUUUCAUUCUGAGUCUCCCAUGGGCUUCCUACUUGAUCCUGGACUGCCAAUUUCCCAAAAAGACAACCAGUAUCUCCAAAAGGCUUACAGGAAAGCACAAUUUUGUGUCUAUGAACUUUUUCACAGUCUUGGGUGGUAUACAUAAGGGAAAUGCACUGUUUUAUGAGAAAUAUAAACAUUAUUCAGUCUCAUGAAAUUUGAGUAAUGUGACCAAUACAGAGUAUCUUUUAUUAUUUUGCUGUUCUUUAAUCUCAGAAUGAUUCUUAAUCUUAAAUGAUUCAUGUACUACAUAAACACAGCCAAUUCCCAUUUUAUAUUGUUUUGGACUUUAUUCUUGAAAGCACUGAUCUGUUUUGAAGAAAAAUUGCAUAAUCUAGUAACUUUUUCUGCAACAUCCCUGAUUUAUGUAGUCAUAACAGGGUGAAAUUUAGUUUUAUUGGGUUUUUAGUCUUACUCCAAAAAUCCAAACAGGCAAAUAAAUGUUAGGUUAUGUUUCUCUCUGGUUAUCACCGGAAACAUUCUUUAAUCAAGCUACAUUUCAUUCAGAAUUUUUUUACCUUCACAAAUCGGGAGAUAUAAGGGAGCUGAUUAAUUGUGAUGUGACUUCAGGUCAGUGACAGCGCUCAAGUACAAGCUGAGAGCAAAACUGGCGUUUUAGAAUUGGUAGCUGUCUAGAAAUCAACAAUUAAAUGUUUUCAGGGGACACGAGUGCUGGGAGAGCCUGCUUGACAUGUGACAGACUACAGGACAUCACCUGUGCACUGGUGCCCGCGGCGCGUGGAGGAAGAGCUCGGCUGCCGGAGGAGGAAAAGCGAGAGGCACGUUGUUCCAUCAGCGGGAUCA